rnacentral:rRNA from 1 species
CCUACGGGAGGCAGCAGUGGGGAAUAUUGGACAAUGGGCGCAAGCCUGAUCCAGCAAUGCCGCGUGAGUGAUGAAGGCCUUAGGGUUGUAAAGCUCUUUCGCCCGCGACGAUGAUGACGGUAGCGGGAGAAGAAGCCCCGGCUAACUCCGUGCCAGCAGCCGCGGUAAUACGGAGGGGGCUAGCGUUGUUCGGAAUUACUGGGCGUAAAGGGCGCGCAGGCGGCUGCUCAAGUCAGGCGUGAAAGGCCUGGGCUCAACCCGGGAAUUGCGCUUGAGACUGGGCUGGCUUGAGUGCGGGAGAGGAUGGUGGAAUUCCCAGUGUAGAGGUGAAAUUCGUAGAUAUUGGGAAGAACACCGGUGGCGAAGGCGGCCAUCUGGACCGCAACUGACGCUGAGGCGCGAAAGCGUGGGGAGCAAACAGGAUUAGAUACCCCAGUAGU